CCUACGGGUGGCAGCAGUGGGGAAUAUUGGGCAAUGGAGGAAACUCUGACCCAGCAACGCCGCGUGUAGGAUGAAGGUUUUCGGAUUGUACACUACUGUCGCGAGGGAUGAAGAGUGACGGUAUAUUGUAUGAAAGCCUCGGCAAACUACGUGCCAGCAGCCGCGGUAAUACGUAGGGGGCGAGCGUUGUCCGGAAUGACUGGGCGUAAAGGGAAUGGAGGCGGCUUAUUAAGUGAGAUGUGAAAGCCCGGGGCUCAACCGCGGAAAUGAACAUAAAACUGGUAUGCUGGAGUGCAGGAGAGGUAGGUAGAAUGCCCGGUGUAGCGGUGGAAUGCGUAGAUAUCGGGAGGAACACCAGAGGCGAAGGCGACUUACUGGACUGUAACUGACGCUGAGGCGCGAAAGCGUGGGGAGCAAACAGGAUUAGAUACCCGAGUAGUC
rnacentral:rRNA from 1 species